rnacentral:sRNA from 1 species
CCUUCUGUUACUGAGAAUUGGGGUAGGGAUCUCAAUAAAAGUUCUUCCGUUUCAUUUGUAACUGUGAAUUCAAUUCAAUAUUGAAUACAGAACU